rnacentral:rRNA from 1 species
UACAGAGGGUGCAAGCGUUAAUCGGAAUUACUGGGCGUAAAGGGCUCGUAGGCGGCCAACUAAGUCAGACGUGAAAUCCCUCGGCUUAACCGGGGAACUGCGUCUGAUACUGGUUGGCUUGAGUUUGGGAGAGGGAUGCGGAAUUCCAGGUGUAGCGGUGAAAUGCGUAGAUAUCUGGAGGAACACCGGUGGCGAAGGCGGCAUCCUGGACCAACACUGACGCUGAGGAGCGAAAGCCAGGGGAGCAAACGGG